ensembl:snRNA U6 U6 spliceosomal RNA
AUGCAAAUCUGAGCAGCACAUAUACUAAAGUUGGAAGAAUAAGGAGAUUAGCAUGGCCCCAGCAAAAGGAUGACAUGCAAAUUCGUGAAGCAUUUAAAAAAAAA